AAAGCUUUGUGGUCCCUGAUCCUAUUGACAUCAGAUCUUCUUGGCUUCUGAAACUGGUAGGCACUGAGGUCCCCAUGCUAAUGUUCUCCCUCCCCUCUUCUUUGUUCUGCUCAAAGCACUGAAGCCUGUUUUUAAAAAAAAAUCAAAUUACAUUUUCUAAUGUGAGCUACUUCCUGCCCUCAUUAACUCCAUCCUCAGUGACUUGCCUGGAACCUGCAGGCAGCCUAAAGGAGGUCCAGGACUGUACAGUCAAAGGCCCUUCAGGCCCAUAGCAGGUCAUUGUCAGGGUCUCUAUCUCAAGGACACUGAGAUGAAAACAGCAGGAGAGCCAGUCCUGAAUCUUGGGCAGACCCUGGAGUGGCUGAGGAGGGAGCUGUCUGAGAUGCAGAUCCAGGACCAGCAUCUCCUGCUUACACUGAGGCAUCUCCACGGUGUUCUGGAGGAGCUUCGCACACAGACCGCCCAAUGGGAGGAUGGCAGGUCCAGCGAGGGGACAUCCCCCAUCAGAGGAAGAGCAGGCUCUGAAAGCAGGGGCUGCCAGACAGUCACUUCCAGGCGGCUGGCCCAGCUCCUGAAAGGGGAAGAAAGCAGAAGAAGCUCACUUCCUUAAUUGGCCAGAGAUGACACUGGCCCCAGCCCUGCCACCUCUAAUCUAAACUUUGUGAUUCUUGGGAGGAGAGAGCGUUGUUAUAGGAGUCAUGAAGUCAGGGCUCAAGGUUCAUCUCUGCUGUGUCCCUGGAUCCGUCACUCAACUUCUCUAUGUCUUUGGUUCCCUUUCUGUCACUUAUCAGAGAGUUUUUUUGUGAGGCAUAAAUAAAGUAGCAGAUGUGAACAUGCUUUUUACUGGGGAUUGAACAUGCUUUUUACUGGACUUUAUGGUUUUGAGGCAGGUGGCGGCAUCAC
rnacentral:lncRNA from 1 species